rnacentral:rRNA from 1 species
GCCGGCGACCGGCGCACGGGUGAGUAACACGUAUGCAACCUGCCCCGGAGCGGGGGAUAACCCGGCGAAAGCCGGACUAAUACCGCGUAUAUAUCCAGGAGGCAUCUUCUGGAUAGGAAAGGACUUCGGUCCGCUCCGGGAUGGGCAUGCGGCGCAUUAGGCAGACGGCGGGGUAACGGCCCACCGUACCGACGAUGCGUAGGGGUUCUGAGAGGAAGGCCCCCCACACUGGUACUGAGACACGGACCAGACUCCUACGGGAGGCAGCAGUGAGGAAUAUUGGUCAAUGGGCGAGAGCCUGAACCAGCCAAGCCGCGUGAGGGAAGAAGGCGCUCAGCGUCGUAAACCUCUUUAGCCGGGGGACAAAACCUCCUCGUGAAGGAGGCUUGAGAGUACCCGGAGAAUAAGCAUCGGCUAACUCCGUGCCAGCAGCCGCGGUAAUACGGAGGAUGCGAGCGUUAUCCGGAUUUAUUGGGUUUAAAGGGUGCGCAGGCGGACAUUCAAGUCUGCGGUCAAAUUCCGGGGCUCAACCCCGGCCAGCCGUGGAAACUGAAUGACUUGAGUGGGCGAGAGGUAUGCGGAAUGCGCGGUGUAGCGGUGAAAUGCUUAGAGAUCGCGCAGAACUCCGAUUGCGAAGGCAGCAUACCGGCGCCUUACUGACGCUCAGGCACGAAAGCGUGGGGAUCGAACAGGAUUAGAUACCCUGGUAGUCCACGCAGUAAACGAUGAAUGCUGGUUGUUCGGGCCGACUGAGGCCUGAGUAACGUAGUGAAAACGUUAAGCAUUCCACCUGGGGAGUACGCCGGCAACGGUGAAACUCAAAGGAAUUGACGGGGGCCCGCACAAGCGGAGGAACAUGUGGUUUAAUUCGAUGAUACGCGAGGAACCUUACCCGGGCUCAAACGGGAGCGGACGUGCGGAGAAAUCCGCAUUUCUUCGGACCGCUUCCGAGGUGCUGCAUGGUUGUCGUCAGCUCGUGCCGUGAGGUGUCGGCUUAAGUGCCAUAACGAGCGCAACCCCUGCGGACAGUUGCCAUCAGGUAGAGCUGGGCACUCUGUCCGGACUGCCGGCGCAAGCCGUGAGGAAGGCGGGGAUGACGUCAAAUCAGCACGGCCCUUACGUC